UACGUAGGGUCCGAGCGUUGUCCGGAAUUACUGGGCGUAAAGCGCUCGUAGGCGGCCAACUAAGUCAUACGUGAAAUCCCUCAGCUUAACUGGGGAACUGCGUGUGAUACUGGAUGGCUUGGAUUUGGGAGAGGGAUGCGGAAUUCCAGGUGUAGCGGUGAAAUGCGUAGAUAUCUGGAGGAACACCGGUGGCGAAGGCGGCAUCCUGGACCAAUAUUGACGCUGAGGAGCGAAAGCCAGGGGAGCAAACGGG
rnacentral:rRNA from 1 species